ensembl:lncRNA
AGGUGCAGGGUGCUGUACUUAGGUUGGAGCAAUUCCAGGGUAUUGGAAGAACACUUCCAAGAAGCACAAGUUAUGGCAAAGAACGUGGCUCCAGAAGGAAUAAGAAAGGGAUGAAGAGUGAGGAGGUUAUGCCAACGUCAAGAGAGUGGCCUGCCAGGAAGCAUGGCACAGCAGUGUAGUAAGGUCAGCUUUGGUGGGCCUCUGCCUCAAAUCUGGCACCAAUUUAUCUUUGUGCACAGCCUCUAACAGUGCCAAGAGCAAAUCUGACCCAUGAGCUGGCUAUCAGACAACAGCCUGGGCAUCCACAGCAAUGAGAGGAAAGCUAAGCCCCACUCUUCAGGCAAAGGAGUUAUUUCAGGACUUAGAAGCAGACAUGCCACUUGGGUUGAAAUAGCUUUCUUAUCGAGAUGUUGAGCAGCACAAGGUAUCAAUGUAUUCUGCUCUUCUGGGAGGAUCCUGUGGGAUAGCUUUGGAGAAAGCAAGGAGUGUGGAAAGGAUGUGAAGCACAACUCACUGAAAGAGUUUUGGAUCAGGCCAGUGGACAAAGGGAUUUUUCAGUAGCUAGGAUAUGCGGCUGAAACUUCAGUUUCUAAAAACAAGCCACGACAACCGUAAGCCAACAGCUGUCUUCUUGGUACCUGCUCACUGAGAUGGAUUUGUUUUGAAAUUUCCAGUGUAUUUCAAAGAUUUUUUUUUUUUUUUGUGAGGUCCUGAGUGCAGAGAAGUAAUUGCCAUAACCUCCACAGACUUCAGUGGGAGGAGAAUUUCCCCUUGCUUCUCUCAGACUCUGAAAAUGUCAUACAGUGUUUACUUCAGGAAACCAUGCACUUACAGUUUUAAUCCUGAACUGCAAAGCUUCUCCACUUUGACGUUAUUUCAUGGAGGUUAACUUCUGCCCCAUGCUCUCAGAGGCUCUGAAUAAGUUCUCUUGCAUUUGGAACUGGUGCUCAGCCCCCUUAAUUUAUUGCACAUUUUUCAGAUGUUUUUUUGCUUUCUAAUCUAAGUAGACACCAAAGCUGAAUGUUAAAAUCAUGAGGUAUGCUAUGAUUUUGGCCCAAAUAACACCCAGCCUCCAUGACACAAUUUUCUGGUGAGGAUUAUUUGAUAAAUCCUUUUCCGUCCAUUGAUUGUAGCCAGGGAUUACUGAGGCUGAAUUCAAAGUCUUUCCACAGACAUUCCUUUGUCAUCUGGCUUGAUGUUCUCCUGCAUUUACCUUAUGUAAACGGUGUUCUUUUCAGAAGAGCUGAAAGAAUUGGACAGUCUUUUUUAACACAUUCUGGGUUACACAGCCAUCUUGCUUUACGGAAAUGCCUUUAUUUCAAGUAGCUAGGAAAUAAAAACCUUUCUAGCUUUGAAGUGAUUUUUAGUGCAUUUGGAAAAAAAAAAGAGUGAAAGAGAGACUGUCAAAUCCCAUUUUAGUUUUUUAAAGCUAACUGCAAAUUUUAAUGAGGUCCUCUGAACAAAGAUUCUGAGAUGCUUCAUAUUUAAGACUUAGCAAUAGUACGUGAGCCACUGACUUCCAUCAUUAAGUUCAGCUGGCAAAGGCCAAGGCAACUCUUCUCAUUUAGAACUUUGUUACCAUUUAUGUUUGAGGUGAAGAAGCUAUUAUGGAAACUUUGUGAGCUGGGAAGGACUGAAAACUACCAUUGUAAUUUAUGACCUUUCAUCUAAGGCCAAAUGUAAAGGCAAUCACAAUUGUUCUAUAUCUCAAGGCCAGCACAUAGCAGAUGUAUGAAAUUUGGAAGUGGUAGACAUAAACUUUUAUUACCAAAUUAUAAAUAAUUUCUACCACUUACAACGUUCACCUU